AGCGAACGCUGGCGGCGUACUUAACACAUGCAAGUCGAACGGGGAUCGACACGUGAGCAAUCACGUGGCGGUCUUAGUGGCGUACGGGUGAGUAACACGUGGGCAACCUGCCCUUGAGUCUGGGAUAACCUCCCGAAAGGGAGGCUAAUACCGGAUACGGUCCUCGGGUCGCGAGAUCUGAGGAAGAAAGGUGGCGCAAGCUACCGCUCUUGGAGGGACUCGCGGCCUAUCAGCAGUUGGUGAGGUAACGGCUCACCAAGGCUAUGACGGGUAGCUGGUCUGAGAGGGCGACCAGCCACACGGGGGACUGAGACAC
rnacentral:rRNA from 1 species